CCUACGGGAGGCAGCAGUGGGGGAUAUUGCACAAUGGGGGAAACCCUGAUGCAGCAACGCCGCGUGUGGGAAGAAGGUUUUCGGAUUGUAAACCACUGUUCUUGGUGAAGAUAAUGACUUUAUCUAACGAAUAAGCACCGGCUAACUCCGGGCCAGCAGCCGCGGUAAUACGGAGGGUGCAAGCGUUCCUCGGAAUCACUGGGCGUAAAGAGCGCGUAGGCGGGAUAGCAAGUCAGAUGUGAAAUCCUAUGGCUUAACCAUAGAACUGCAUUUGAAACUGGUAUUCUAGAGUAUGGGAGAGGUAGGUGGAAUUCUUGGUGUAGGGGUAAAAUCCGUAGAGAUCAAGAGGAAUACUCAUUGCGAAGGCGACCUGCUAGAACAUAACUGACGCUGAUGCGCGAAAGCGUGGGGAGCAAACAGGAUUAGAUACCCCUGUAGUC
rnacentral:rRNA from 1 species